rnacentral:rRNA from 1 species
CCUGCCCUUUGUACACACCGCCCAUCGCUCCUACCGCUUGAAUGGUAAGGUGAAGUGUUCGGAUCGUGGCCUGCGGGGGGUUUGCCGCCGGUGAGUCACGAGAAGUUCGCUGAACCUUAUCAUUUAGAGGAAGAAGAAGUCGUAACAAGGUUGCCGUAGGUGAACCUACGGAAGGAUCACUA